rnacentral:rRNA from 1 species
ACGAACGCUGGCGGCGUGCUUAACACAUGCAAGUCGAACGGAAAGGCCCUGCUUUUGUGGGGUGCUCGAGUGGCGAACGGGUGAGUAACACGUGAGUAACCUGCCCUUGACUUUGGGAUAACUUCAGGAAACUGGGGCUAAUACCGGAUAGGAGCUCCUGCUGCAUGGUGGGGGUGGGAAAGUUUCGGCGGUUGGGGAUGGACUCGCGGCUUAUCAGCUUGUUGGUGGGGUAGUGGCUUACCAAGGCUUUGACGGGUAGCCGGCCUGAGAGGGUGACCGGCCACAUUGGGACUGAGAUACGGCCCAGACUCCUACGGGAGGCAGCAGUGGGGAAUAUUGCACAAUGGGCGGAAGCCUGAUGCAGCAACGCCGCGUGCGGGAUGACGGCCUUCGGGUUGUAAACCGCUUUCGCCUGUGACGAAGCGUGAGUGACGGUAAUGGGUAAAGAAGCACCGGCUAACUACGUG